rnacentral:rRNA from 1 species
UACGGAGGGUGCAAGCGUUAUCCGGAUUCACUGGGUUUAAAGGGAGCGUAGGUGGGCUGGUAAGUCAGUGGUGAAAUCUCCGGGCUUAACCCGGAACUGCCGUUGAUACUAUCAGUCUUGAAUAUUGUGGAGGUAAGCGGAAUAUGUCAUGUAGCGGUGAGAUGCUUAGAUAUGACAUAGAACACCGAUAGCGAAGGCAGCUUGCUACACAAUGAUUGACACUGAGGCUCGAAAGCGUGGGGAUCAAACAGG